CUCGUAGGUGUACUCGCCAUCGGACCUGCGACUCUCUGUCGGGUGCCGAAGGGGAACCCGUGAAACCUGCCACCUGGGAAGUACGGCCGCAAGGCUGAAACUUAAAGGAAUUGGGCGGGGGAGCACCACAACGGGUGGAGCUUGCGGUUUAAUUGGAUUCAACGCCGGAAAUCUCACCGGAUACCGACAGCUAAAUGAAAGCCAGGUUGAAGACUUUGCUUGAUUAGCUGAGAGGAGGUG
rnacentral:rRNA from 1 species